CAGCAGUAGCCGCGGUAACACGGAGGGUGCAAGCGUUAAUCGGAAUUACUGGGCGUAAAGCGCACGCAGGCGGUCUGACAAGUCAGAUGUGAAAUCCCCGGGCUUAACCUGGGAACUGCAUUUGAAACUGUCAGGCUGGAGUCUUGUAGAGGGGGGUGGAAUUCCAGGUGUAGCGGUGAAAUGCGUAGAGAUCUGGAGGAAUACCGGUGGCGAAGGCGGCCCCCUGGACAAAGACUGACGCUCAGGUGCGAAAGCGUGGGGAGCAAACAGGAUUAGAUACCCGAGUAGUCCCUGUCUCUUAUAC
rnacentral:rRNA from 1 species